rnacentral:rRNA from 1 species
UACGUAGGGGGCUAGCGUUGUCCGGAUUUAUUGGGCGUAAAGAGCGUGUAGGCGGCCAGGUAGGUCUGGUGUGAAAACUCGAGGCUUAACCUCGAGAUGUCAUCGGAAACCAUCUGGCUAGAGUCCGGAAGAGGAGAGUGGAAUUCCUGGUGUAGCGGUGAAAUGCGCAGAUAUCAGGAAGAACACCAAUGGCGAAGGCGGCGCUCUGGGCCGGUACUGACGCUGAGACGCGAAAGCGUGGGGAACAAACAGG